rnacentral:lncRNA from 1 species
GGGGAGUCUUCCCGUUGUUGUGCAGUGCUGGGGAUCUUGCUCACUGCUUCUUUCACAGAAGCCAGCAUUCCUACUGAGCCACACCCCCAGCUCCCAGGACUUCAGCAGUUUAACACUGCCUUCCUCUCCUGCAGAAGCCCUACAUUCAGUUGCCAGUUGCCUCAUAACUGCCUGUAACUCCAGCUCCAGGGGAUCUGACGCCCUCUUCUGGAUUUGGCAUAACCUGGAAGCAUCGUAGAUGCUCCUCAGCUGAAGAAUGGAUGGAGAAAAUGUGGUGCAUUUACACAAUGGAGUACUACUCAGCGGGGAAAAAACAAUGGAAUCUUGAAAUUCACAGGCAAAUAGGUGGAACCUGAAGAAACCAUCCUGAGUGAGAAUCCACAAAUACAUUCCAACAGGUGCAGGAAGACUUACCUAAAGGAUCAUGAAACUGCCUCAAGAACUCUGCCAUGGACCACAAGACACUACCAGAAAGCAAAACAAAAUCAACGUUUUUUGGCUGGCAGCUGCCACUAGAGAAACACCUGAGCUUCUAUGUGUGUUCCAUUUCCUGUCGCCAUAGGCUGUAACUACCCCCAUAGGACUGGCAGAUCUUUGAUUUAAAGGAAGAUUAAAUCAUGUCAAAAUUACCUACAAAAUAAAACAGAAAACUCCAAAGGAAAAUGGC